UUGAACAUCCCAGGUGACCGUCCACAGGGACUUUGAUCUGGCAUGCAGAAUGCUGGAAGGGCAAAGUAUUGUGUACCUUUCUGUCCCUCUGGGAACAAGGAAGGGAUCUGCCAGAGAACUUGCUGGAGAGUCGGCAUUUUGAUUAUAUGAGACUAGCUAACCUGCUGCUUUCCAAUUUUUAGCAUAGCAUCCAGGAAGAAUGGGAUUUCUGUUGGAAUUAUGCAUAAAAAAAAUUUCCAGGGAGGUAUGAUAAUGGGGGAGGAAGAAGUGGAUAUUGAACCUGGGAUUUUUUUUUUUUUAACUUCUCCAAUUUUCUCUCUUCACAAAUGUGAAAUGUUUUCUAGCAAAUUUCUCGCGUAUGUUUUUAGGCAUGAUAAUCAAGUUGUACUUUAUUAUCUUAAAAAGAUUGUUCUUGGUGUGGUGAGGCUCCGCAGGAGGGAUAGUGCCUAGCACCGCUCUGUAAAUUCUAUGGAUGUAUUGAUUUUAUGUAGAGACGGCUAAAUGCAUCCGAAGGGAAUUGCAUCUUGGUGGACAUAUGUUUGAACUGCUGUCAGUAAUGAAGAUGAAGAAGCUGGCCUCAGAGUGGGAGUUACCUCACAUGCAGUCACAGACCUCAUUAGUACAGAUUCUCAAAGCCAUCACCUGCUUCCUUAAAUCAAGCCUACAUCAAAUGAAUAAACAGCAGUGAAGAAAGUCUUCCACAUUUCAAUUCAC